AAUGAGAAUUAACUUUAUUUUCAAGAGAAUAAUGUGUUUGUCAAAAGCAAAUACAUACACUUGCUGCCACUUCAGUGUCUGUUUUAUUUUGUCUUAUUUUAUGUUUUGAAGGGCCUCAACCUUACCACACUGACUUUGCCAAGCACUCCAUGUGUCAUCAUCCUUGGUGAUGAACGGUAUCACAUGGCUGUUGACCAGACGAUUGUGAACGACCAUGUCCACAGCCCAUUGACUGCAUUGAGCUAUUUAUUUAGUCUGUACUAUGUGCUCAAUAUACGAUAUCCAAAGGAUGCAGCUUUGUCACUGGAGUUUAUGCAAAGAAGUCUCCUGGGGAUCAAUCCUGGACGAGGGUCCAAAGCAGAGCAGAUAGGGAAAAAGGCGCACAAGAUUCAUCCUAAAUUGUUAAAGUUCCUCUCUGAACUAAGUGACUACCAAAAUCCAUGGAGAAUCUAAUUGAGUUCAUGCAGGAGUCUCCAGGUGUGUGUCUCUCACUACUGCAGUGCACCACAGUGGCCAAGGAGAGAUGACAAACUCCACGCUGUUCUACUGGAGCCAGUGCCACCAUGUGUGUGUGAGGUUAAGCAGUGUGUUUGUGUGUGAGA